rnacentral:rRNA from 1 species
UACAGAGGUCUCAAGCGUUGUUCGGAUUCAUUGGGCGUAAAGGGUGCGUAGGCGGCGCGGUAAGUCGGGUGUGAAAUCUCGGAGCUUAACUUCGAAACUGCAUUCGAUACUGCCGUGCUUGAGGACUGGAGAGGAGACUGGAAUUUACGGUGUAGCGGUGAAAUGCGUAGAUAUCGUAAGGAAGACCAGUGGCGAAGGCGGGUCU